GUUGCUACCCGGGUGCAGGCGGUCCCAGGCCCUUUUCUACCCGGACUCGCCCGUGUCUUCCCCUUUCGCCCGCCCGCUUGCUGCUCGGCUCAGUGGAGUUCAAGAUGCUGAUAAACACAAGGUCUGGUGCUUGAAAGAAUUGGUGGAGCUCUUCAAGUAGAUAAAGUAUAUUUGACUAUGUUAUAAAGAGCAGAGAUUUUGCCCCCAUCCCUUUUAUUGUGGUAACAGAAGCGAAUUUGAGAAUUUUGUGUCUGUCCUGUAACACGGUUGACCCAGUAGAGACUAAUUUCUUUUUCUUUUUUUGGCGGAAUCAGGUAUUGAACUCAGGC